GCCCCAGAGUGUGACAGAGCUGCUGCAAUGAUGUGGAGAAGCAUCGGCUCCUCGGGAACAGCAGUGGAGAAGGUGCUGCCAGUACUGCUCCGUGUGAUGGAGGAUUGGCCAGUGCACGGAAUGUCCACCUCCGAUGGCGACAGCAGAGACGUGUUUGCCCUGGCUGCAACCCUGGCACUGUGGCUGAUCAUCCAGGAGCCCAAGUGCCAGGAUGCAGUGAUGAAUUACAUCCCCCGCCUGCUCAUGGCUCUGCUGUUCCAAGUGUCCAUGAGCACAGAGCAGGUGCCAGAAGAGGUGAACAGCUUCUGGAGGGGAUGCCUGGAGCAACAUCGCCUCC